GACAAUUUGCGGCAGCCAGUGAAGAGCUUUCUGUGGAGCAAAACCCUUUGGAAGUUGAUGGGGAUUGUAUUGGAUCUCGCUGUUGAAGUUGGGCAGUACCUUUCGUUGCCGGUCUUGGCUUUGUCGCAGCUGAGCGAGAUGUCUUAUUGUGCCCUUGAGAGGAAACUGGUCCUUGUUCCGAUUCCUUUUCUUGUUGCCUUUGCUGUUGCUGGAGUGAUGAAGGAUACUGCAGCUGAAGCCUCUUCAGGUCUUAAGGUGGUAAUUCACAUAGCAAAUGGAUAAUUGCAGCCUCUCCAUCAUGCGGCAAGAGGAGAACAUUUGAAUGUUGUGCAUUAGCUUCUUUCAGCUGGGGCUUCACCUAAGACAACAAACGUUUAUGGAAUGGUUAGCACUUUUGUUAAAUUUAGUGUAUCUCAGGAAUUAUGAUGUAUGACCUCGUUUCUGCUGUCUCAGUGUCAUGUUUCGAAGCGAAACUAGUUAUUGAUCCGAUGGCAGAAGAGGAAGCUUGCCAAUAUGGAAUCCGUCAUCAUGAGAUCAUCAUGUCUAAAGGAAUCAGUCUCUUCAUAAAAGCAAAUUUUUGUAGUACCUGCUUGUUAAUAACGAGAGAGAACCAUAUUUUUUGUUGUUACUCACUUUGUAACUCAAUGUUUUUGCUGUGUUGUAAAAUGAUGGAUACAUUUUGUGAACAUA